UCACAAUAUGGACUUUCUAUGACUGAGCAAGAUUUUCUUCAGCAUUCGAUUCCAUGGAUAGCCGCCAAUGAUGCUGCUUGGCGUGCCUUAUGCCGUUAUUGGGCUUCGGAUAAUUUCAAGGCAAAGUCUA